UUUUCUGGGUCAGGGGUUGCUGACCCACAGAAAAAACUAGUUGGGGUCCACACACAAGCAAGAAGCUCCUGACUGAGAAGGAGAAAGAUGCUCCCCAUAUUCCCCUUGCACACUGGAGCCUGAGGGGCCCAGCUACAGGCCAUGAUGGAGGAGGUGGAUGAGGGACAGCAGCAGGAGGAGGAGGAUGAGACGGCCACCAUCAUGCUGUGCUUAGAGCCAGUUGCUGUGAGCCAGGAUGUCUCCCAGGCAUCAUCUGCUGCCAGGGAGGGGUCUUCAGCCAGGCUUGAGGGGUGAGCCACACCACCCAAGCCCAGAGGACCUGAAAGCAUGCCUGGGUCCAUGAAGACCUGAUGCGGCAGCAUGCCGGUCUCCUGCAUGACAUGCAGCAGACCCUGGCACAGAAGACAACUCGAGAGGACUUGGAGUGGCAGAACUGUGUGUGGGACCAGCUCAUGCAGUGGUGCAAUAGCCUCAUCUAAGAUUAUGUUAAAUUCUAAUUACCCACCUUUAGGGUUAACAGGUUCUCUGUCCCAGGCUCAGGCCCAGUAUUCAAUUACACUAUGACUGGGAACCCUGUUGUGCACUGUUACAACACUCACAAUAUAGAAACUCUUGUAUAUUUACAAUAUUUACAGUUUAUUAAUAAGGUUGCCACAGUCACAAACACCUCAGGUUCAUAAGACAGGGAAUGUACAUUCAUAUUUCCUUACCAUAUACUUACAUCAUUCCUUCUAGAACAAUCUUGGGUGUUAGCCCAUCAUCCUUCUCACUACCUUCACCUUCCCCAUCACGACCAGGGUCCAUCAUACUGGCCCUUCCAAGGACUACAUCUUCUGCUUUUCUAGCCCCUGGGGCUGGGGGCCCACUUCUAUACCAAGUGACACUGACGAUAACAUGUUUUAUGCAUAUUCAAUAGGGGGUGUUUCUAAUGCUGAAGUGUUCUUUUCCUAUUGGUCAAUAUAUCAUUGCUCUUAACUUAUUAUCAUAUAUGUCAAUUCGUUGCCAUGGGUCUUUGUGGUUAUUUAUCACAACCUGUGUCCUAAUUUCUUAACUCAGCCUGAACCAAUUAUUUGGGACUUAUAUUUAAUAAUACAUCUGCUGAGUCUGAGGGUCUUGUUCCCACCAUCCUGUGUGGGUGAAAGGUCCAGGCCCAAGUUCCCUUUUUUCAGGCCCGGGAAACCAUAAAUAAGUUAUAACCAGUAUCUGGGUGAGACUGUGUCCCAACCACGGAAGUCUGCAAACCUCAGCUCCUGCUGAUCUAGCAAACGGCCUGUUGCAGCAUGGACAAAAGAUAUAAUAUAACCCCAUAUUACUUGACCUGGGCUGUGAGCUUAUGUAUGUUCUCUUAUUCAAGUAUAAGCCUGUCUUUUAAUUGACUGUAAUGCAGACAUGGCACUCAUUGGAAAGUGCAUUUAGAGGCUGUACUAUCUUGUUAUUCUCUAGAGCAGGAGCCACUGCACUGCAGGGGAACUCGACUCACCAGGCAGACUAGGACUGGGCUGUACUGUACCCAGAUGGGUUAAUGGCAAAGCCCUCCCCCAAGGAGUUGAGUGCUGCUGUGUUAGUAUUAGCAGCCUUCACAAACUUGGGCAGACAUAAGGCCUACUGUAUGGCACCUAAACCCAGACAUCAGUCAAGCUAACACAAAGGGCCUACGGGAAUUCUGAGGGCAGCUUUAGAAGAUUUCUUGCAUUAGAGUUUUUAACUACAGCUGUUCCCCGAGUUACGACCACCUCCACUUACAACCAUCCGCACUUACGAACAGCGUGG